CCAAAUUCGUGGAGAGCAAGGGAGGAAGAGAUUUUCGCGAAAACUUGACCAAUCUUCGUGCAGUUCGUCCCUACUUCUAGGUAUCAAGUUGAAGGAACUUUGGAAUAUUCAGAGCAACUGUUUGAGGACAACCUUGAUUUCGAAGCUGGAACAGCUCGAGGCGUCUGUCAGCCGGUUCGUGAUGAUUCGUUGUGCGGGAAAGACCCGGAGCGAAAUGUCUAUUACUGAAGCUUUCGACGAGGACCCAGACUUCAUGGCUGAUCGAGGGAGAGUCGAUAAUAGUAGUGUGGGUUAUGGGUGGUUAGAGUCUUUUGAGUUGGUUGUCACUGUCAUAGCUCUGAUUCGUCUUACUUUUGGGACCGGGUAGGUUCCCGAUAUAUGGCUUUUUGUGUGGUUCUCUUGCUGAGGAUCACAGAGAGUCUGUCGGACUAUAGGGGUCUUGGGUUGAGGCCAUUUUGAGGCCGACCUUCUCUUGGAUAGUGGUAUAUUUGAUGCUUUUGCGUACAGUUCUGGUUUGUAUAUAUUCGCCUACGGGCACGCUACCUUGGAGUCACUGCGUGUGCGCGUGACGGGAUAGUGCAGCAGAGGCUGUACCUUUGUAUAUGUUGUUUAUCGGUUAGUUUAG